AGUGAACGCUGGCGGCGUGCCUAAUACAUGCAAGUCGAACGAAGUGGCGCACGGGUGAGUAAUAUAUAGUUAAUCUGCCCUACACAGAGGAACAACAGUUGGAAACGACUGCUAAUACCCCAUAGUGUAGGAUGAGACUAUAUCGUAUCCGCUAGUUGGUCAGGUAAUGGCUUACCAAGGCUAUGACGCGUAACUGGUCCGAGAGGAUGAUCAGUCGAUUUGGAAGGGAGAGACGGUCCAAACGCCUACGAGAGGCAGCAGUAAGGAAUAGUGCCCAAUGGGUGAAACCCUGACGCGGCAACGCCGCGUGGAGGAUGACACUUUUCGGAGCAUAAACACCUUUUAUCAGGAAAGCGGUACCUGAUGAAUAAGCACCGGCUAACUCCGUGCCAGCAGCCGCGGUAAUAC
rnacentral:rRNA from 1 species